rnacentral:rRNA from 1 species
AAUGAACGCUGGCGGCAGGCCUAACACAUGCAAGUCGAACGGAUCCUUCGGGAUUAGUGGCGGACGGGUGAGUAACGCGUGGGAACAUACCCUUUGGUACGGAAUAGCCUCGGGAAACUGGGAGUAAUACCGUAUGUGGUCGAGAGACGAAAGAUUUAUCGCCAAAGGAUUGGCCCGCGUUGGAUUAGGUAGUUGGGGGGGUAAUGGCCUACCAAGCCGACGAUCCAUAGCUGGUUUGAGAGGAUGAUCAGCCACACUGGGACUGAGACACGGCACAGACUCCUACGGGAGGCAGCAGUGGGGAAUAUUAGACAAUGGGGGAAAGCCUGAUCAAGCCAUGCCGCGUGAUCGAUGAAGGCCUUAGGGUUGUAAAGAUCUUUCAGGUGGGAAGAUAAUGACGGUACCCGGAGAAGAAGCCCCGGCUAACUUCGUGCCAGCCGCCGCAGUAACAC